rnacentral:rRNA from 1 species
GAGCCGCAUGGCCCCAUGGAAGAAAAGGUGGCCUCUACCUGUAAGCUAUCGCCUGAAGAGGGGUUUGCGUCUGAUUAGCUGGUUGGAGGGGUAACGGCCCACCAAGGCGACGAUCAGUAGCCGGUCUGAGAGGAUGAACGGCCACACUGGAACUGAGACACGGUCCAGACUCCUACGGGAGGCAGCAGUGGGGAAUCUUCCGCAAUGGGCGAAAGCCUGACGGAGCAACGCCGCGUGAGUGAUGACGGCCUUCGGGUUGUAAAACUCUGUGAUCCGGGACGAAAAGGCAGAGUGCGAAGAACAAACUGCAUUGACGGUACCGGAAAAGCAAGCCACGGCUAACUACGUGCCAGCAGCCGCGGUAAUACGUAGGUGGCAAGCGUUGUCCGGAAUUAUUGGGCGUAAAGCGCGCGCAGGCGGCUUCCCAAGUCCCUCUUAAAAGUGCGGGGCUUAACCCCGUGAUGGGAAGGAAACUGGGAAGCUGGAGUAUCGGAGAGGAAAGUGGAAUUCCUAGUGUAGCGGUGAAAUGCGUAGAGAUUAGGAAGAACACCGGUGGCGAAGGCGACUUUCUGGACGAAAACUGACGCUGAGGCGCGAAAGCGUGGGGAGCAAACAGGAUUAGAUACCCUGGUAGUCCACGCCGUAAACGAUGGAUACUAGGUGUAGGAGGUAUCGACCCCUCCUGUGCCGGAGUUAACGCAAUAAGUAUCCCGCCUGGGAAGUACGAUCGCAAGAUUAAAACUCAAAGGAAUUGACGGA